GUGCCAGCAGCCGCGGUAAAACGUAGGACGCAAGCGUUAUCCGGAGUUACUGGGCGUAAAGCGCGAGCAGGCGGCUCGACCAGUCUGAUGUGAAAGCGCCCGGCUCAACCGGGCGAGGCCAUUGGAAACUAGCGAGCUGGAGGGCAGUAGAGGCAGGCGGAAUUCCGGGUGGAGUGGUGAAAUGCGUAGAGAUCCGGAGGAACACCAGAGGCGAAGGCGGCCUGCUGGGCUGCACCUGACGCUGAGCCGCGAAAGCCAGGGGAGCGAACGGGAUUAGAAACCCCAGUAGUCC
rnacentral:rRNA from 1 species